rnacentral:pre_miRNA from 1 species
AAUAAGUGCAGUUUUGCACUAUUCACGUUCAACGUUUGACCGUCCGUCUUAUUUAAAAAAUUUGUGAAAAAAUUAAAAAUAUUUAGUCACACAUAAAGUACUAUUCAUGUUUUAUCAUCUAAUAGCAAUAAAAAUAAUAAUCAUAAAAAAUUUUCAAAUAAGACGGACGGUUAAACGUUGAACAUGAACAGUGCAAAACUGCACUUAUU